rnacentral:tRNA from 1 species
GGAAGUGUGCCUGAAGCACAAGGGCUACUUUGAUAAAGCAGACAUGGAAUUAAACAAACUCCCGCUUCC